UACGAAGGGGGCUAGCGUUGUUCGGAAUUACUGGGCGUAAAGCGCGCGCAGGCGGUCUUCCAAGUCAGUGGUGAAAGCCCGGAGCUCAACUCCGGAAUUGCCAUUGAAACUGUUGGACUUGAGUACGAGAGAGGUGAGUGGAAUUCCCAGUGUAGAGGUGAAAUUCGUAGAUAUUGGGAAGAACACCGGUGGCGAAGGCGGCUCACUGGCUCGUAACUGACGCUCAAGCGCGAAAGCGUGGGGAUCAAACAGG
rnacentral:rRNA from 1 species